GCACAGGAAAAAAUAAAAGGGGUGAGGGGCGGCUGCGCAGGCUGUGGUGGGGCACACCAUGGGCAGCCUCUCUGCAAAUACUCACUCUUCCCUCGACCAAGUCAGCGGGUUGCGAGUCCUCCGGGGGAUGGGAGGUAGGGCCGGCGGGCGCCUCCGAUAUCCAAUCUCCGAAUUGGAGAGAAAUCGCCUGUCCAAUAUUUAUUUCCACAUUAAUAAUUUUACGGUUUUGUAACGUUAGUUUAUCAGAACUGGGAGCCCCUCUGAAUCCGCUAAGGAGGAUCUCUUUUAAUUGCUCACUAACGAGGAUGUUGCUAUUUUCUCAGGCGCUGCCAUUCCCGCAGCUAAAUCACAGGAGCCCUAGACAGACCGGAGCCGACAAAAAUGUAGGUUUUGACGUUAAAAGCUAAAUGGGGAAGCAGAAGGUAAAUUGAUGGUAGAUGGGGAUGUCAGUGCCCUGGCCUCAGCUCUGCGCCGGCGGAGCCAAGGCCUGAUAACAGCGGUGAGCUGCGCUCCGCAUCCUGCCCGCACCCGGGGGCAUCGGCAUCCCGUCGAUCUGCCCGGUAAUUCCUGAGGGCCAAAACUUUUUUUGGGAGCUUUUACCGAGGUUAAUGGCACGUAAGAGGAGGGAUAGCAGCCUUUCCCACCCAGAAACUUUUCUCUGUGGGUGCAGGGAAGAAGAGAGAAGGGAGGGCAGGGUGGAGAGCAGCCGGGUCGCUGAAGCCCUGUCCCCUCAGAUUGACUCACGUAUGCGUGUUUUAGGCUUGUAGCCUCGUUUCAUAGCUAAGGGAGCGAGGGCCUCUGCUCUCUUUCAAGAGAACACAGCAGUUUGAUUUUUUUCUCCCCUUGAAAAGGAAGAGCGACAAAAUUCCCCGGGCGACGUCCCGCCUCCCCUUCCCUCCCCGGGAGCGGCCCUUCGCUUCCCCGGGGUGCGGGCCCGGCUGCCGCCCCGAAACAGCGCCGUCGCCCCCUCCCAGGGAGGCGAGGACCUCCCCAGCGGCUGCGUGUCCCCUGGGGGCCCCGAGGAAGACAGCAGAGUGGAUUUUUAGAGCUCAUCUGGAUUUUGGAAAGCAGGGACGCAGCGAGGGGCCGGCCCUGUGCUCCGCUGCUGGCAGCGAGCCUAUCAGGUGCUGGCAGUACUAAGUUUUGGGGGACUCUGCAACAUGCCGGACCUCGUUGCUAUCGGAUGUGUAUGCCAUGCCUGCACUCCGGCAAGCAAAAGAGGAAAAAAAUGUGGUGAGGCUCUUUUUUUCGUCGUUUUGCUUAGUUUUGUGGUCUGGGCCCUUUUUUUUCCACACAUACUCCCCUCUCCCUCGUGAUUCCCAGGAGCUCUUCUUUGCCUCAAAAGAUUAUUGCAAUAAUUAUUUCUCGUUUGAUAUCCUUGUCAAAGAAGUGCAACGGGGCCUCUCGGCCAAGCCAAAGGCACCCCCAGAGCGAGCGCUGGGCCAUGCGCGGGAUAUAAACAGGACUAGGGGAUGCCAUGGAGACAGCAUGAACUUGAAAGGUGGGCAGGGAGGUGGGGAGAAAAGGUUAAUAGUGAAACCUCUGAGCAAAAUAUCCUCUUUUUGCGCUUGGAAACCUAACCUUAAUCCUCCUUUUUCACACGCACUCGCCCAGCGACUCACAAAUACCCCCAGAAGAAAUCUCAAAGUAGCGAUGGGAAGGAAACGCAUUUUGCACGCCUACAGACAUAAUCCCCUCUGCUGUAACGAAGGGCUUAUCAAUGUUUUAUAUAUUUUUAAUUUAGGAUUUUUUUUUUCCUGCAGUCCAUGAAAUAUAUGCCUUUGCAAACCAGUUCCGAUCUUUUCUAUUUCUAAUUGGCCAAUUACUGUUCAGCUGUUUCAGCUUGUCACAUACAAUGGAGAGUAGAGUUGUUAUCUGAAUUAUACAUUCACAUAAAUUUUAGCAAAGCCGAGUGAUGCUCGAGGAGCGGAUUUCUGUGGUUCCCUGUGCCUGCCUCCUUCCAAACCAGCGUGGUGUGUGUCUCCCUCUUCCUCAGUUUUCCCUCCCCCCAACCCCGUUUUCCUCUAGAAAUACCAUUGCUUUGAUGAUGCGAAUUUAGAGCAUUGAUUACAAAUUUAUUCUCAGACACUAUAUAAGUCUUUAUAUCUGCUAUUAGAGACAUCUGGGAAUGAUUAGAGCCGUCCCUCCCCCGUCUCUGCUCCCUCUAUCUUGCAGCGAGGAGCUAGAGACAUGUUGACGUCAGAUCAGACGGCUCGGAGCCAUCCUGCUCUCCACUUGGGUGUAAUCACGGCGACGCUUUCCAAGCCCAGCCCGGCCUCGGCAGCCAGCUGGGAUGCGGGUGCAGUGGGACGCGGCACUCCAGCCCCGAGGCUCCUCGGUACAGCCCGGUUUUGCUCCCCGAAGGCUCCGACUCCUCUGAAUUUGCUGCCGAGGUUGUUUGUUUAUUUGUCUGCUUGGGACUUCGAGAAAGCAAGAGCGGUGCAUUCCGCGGGCGGGUUAUUCCCCAUCCACCCCGCUCCCCCCAGCCCCCGACCCAGCGCUUGCUUUAUCUCAGCCCGAUUUCUCCCAGCCCAUUCGCUCACAGCACUGUCUUCCAAAAUAAAUAUCGAGCCAGGCAGAUUUCCACCUUGUGUCUUGGCAGGGAGGAAUUAGCCAAACAAAGUGCAGCGCUUACGUGCGGGCAGUCGCAGGAGCGCCGACAGCCCGUUAUCCAAAGUGGUAGUCAGGUUUAGAACGAGCUGGGAGAGUUGGAGGCUGCCGUGAAACGAGACGAUUCCCUACCCAAACGGCAGUGCUGCUGGCAAGGAGAUGGCUUUGCACCUGCUAUUAAAUCCUAAUGAAUCGCCUCUAAUUGAGAGCAUGGGCUGGCUGACGGUCACGCUGAAUAGCCAGCCUUGGCUCAGCGGGACCCAAAACCACGUUUGAUGCGCUUAUUUUGACAAACUUUUUACUUUACGAUUUUUAAAAAUGUUUCGUAUCACUCUAUUUUUUCUUUCAAGGAGAUAAAAAAAUAAUAGCUGAAUAAAUACAACUUAAGCCUCCAGUGGCUGUUCGCAGUCUUGGACGGCUGACACUUGUCCAGCUGUACAUUACAAUCAGUGCUACUAGCAGGAAGGACGGGCGGGGGGGUGGAUGAGAAAGCAGUUGAUCUCGUCUCCAGAGGAAAAAGAUAAUGUUAGACAAUUUAUCUGAAGGAUUAAAUUCUCGCGGUAAAAUACGCUUGCCAGGAGGAGGGAGAAAAGAAAAACAAAGCCCCAUGUGACCCUAAAAAUAAAUUUUAAAAUACUUCCAUUUAUUUGUUCCAGCAGAAUAAAAUAAAAUAAACCCCCUAAGAUACCGCAACGCUCCUCUGUGUCUAUCUGUAAUCUCGAAAGGAAAAGGAACAUUUCCUUUCUGAAUCAGUGCAAACGGUAUGCUGGGAGCUCGGCUUCCCACCACAACCGCCGACUCAGGGAGUCGAGCGGGAGUAAGUGAAUUUUUUAAAAGCUGUUGAAGUAAAGGGGAAAAAAAACCCCAAACAAACAAAAAAAUAAAACAAAAAAACCCACCCCAAAACCAAAACAAAAAACCCAAACAAACAAAUUAAAAAAAAAAAAACCCGCAGCAAAAUCCUAUUUCUCCCUCUGUGGGAGACCUCCGACUGGUGGCGGCUCUGCGGCAGGGCUGAGGCUGUUGUCCCGGCACCUCUCUCCGGGGAGUCCGCCCUCUGUCCCGAGGCAGGAGCAGUCUCCCCGCCGGGAGAGGCCGUGCGGGUCCGGCGGAGAGCGGCCCGUGUCCCGGGGUCUGCCCGGGCGAGGCGCAGGGCUCUGCGGCUGGGGGCGAGGGGCGGCUGCCCCGGAGCGGCCUUCUGGGAGCAGCAGCAAUGCGUGAGCGGAACAACGGAGAUCAGCGGGCCCGCAUCUCGGAGCCCUUCAGUUGCUAACCGUGGAGGCUGUUCAAAGCAGAAACAAGCCCCUCCGCUGCCCAAAGGAUUCGGGAGAAAAAUAAAGAGCCUGUCAUUUUAUCUCGGGGUUUCUCGGAACCGCUGAGCGAGCCAGACUCUGCGGCCGCUCCCGCCCUGCACGGCGGAACAGCCGCGGCCGGUGCCUUUCCCUUCCGCUGGCCAAGUGCAUCACUCGGGACGCGGGUCCGGGAGUGCUUGAGGAAGAUUUGUACUUAUUUUUUCCCAGAGAAGGCUUUUCCUUGCUGUGUCUUUUGCCUAAGCCAGGAAAAAUGUUUUUCUCUGCUCCACUAAAAACUCCAGCGAGGGCUGAUUCUGUUUGCAUUAAACCCAAUGGGAGGCUUGUUACUGACUUCAAAGCCCACAAGUGGAUCAAACCAGUCCUGCACUGUUGCAUUUAGUCCAUAGCAAAACUCCCUUUGAGGAAGAUUCUGCAGACUUAAGGACUGAGGAGCUAGGACUGGGAGCUAAGGAAAGGACAUGAAUGACUUCCUUCACAGCUGGUUUUAAAAAGCCAUCUGCUUUAUACAGUCAAGCCAAAACUAAGGGGAGAUGAUCUGAGGUUUAGAAACAUGCAGGAUAAUUUUCACACCAAAUAAGAAAAAUGAGAAAUUAUCUUAACAUAUUGUAACUUGUCAUAAAAAUACAUGUUUCUUUCCAGCUUUAAAAGAGGACUUUAUAAAAUCUACUGUCUUUGAUUUGUUAAGUCGAUUUUAUAUUGAUUUUUUAAUUCAUCUGUUUUUAAGAAAGCGGAAUGAAACACUCGAUGUUUCUAUUAUUUUGAUUGGUGCUUCAUUGUAUAAGAAUUUGGUUAUUGAAACAUACACUAAAUAUUGCACUGUAAAUUGUGUUGUAACUUAUGCAAUACCUUUUGGUAUUAAUAGAAAAAAAUCAAGAUUGCAAAAAUGGUAUUUAAUUUUUUAUUUUAUUUAGUUUAAUAAAAAACUCACUUGACUGCACAUUUCUUUGCUUUAUUUUCUCAUUUGUUGUGUAUAUAUUUGAUAAAAAAUAUCUGUGUCUGUUGCAUAUCAUCUAUCUACUAUGAGAAACUACUGCUGUUCUUAAUAAGCUAUUGAGAAAAAUAAACCAGUUUGCACUUUGAUUUCUAUCACUCCUGGUGAGUGAUUCUUCUGGAAUAAACAUAGCUCUAACACAUGUAAACAACACAGGAAAUUAAUAACAAAAUUCUUUGGAUUUCUU